UUUUUAUUGGAUGAUAAUUGUCACGUGUCAUGUUCUGAUUGAUCAAUGAAAACAACAAUGUAUUUGUUUUUUCAUAGAGUUAACAUCCAAUCAGAACAUGACAUGUGAUAGUCAUCAUCA
rfam:Glycine max cultivar Williams 82 chromosome 7, whole genome shotgun sequence.